rnacentral:snoRNA from 1 species
UGGACAAAAGGAAAAGAGAAAAGAAAUAUAAUCAUUAUAAGUAAGAUGGACUUUUUCUUCCAAAAGACUGCCACAGUAAUACUGUGACUCAUGGACCCUUAUCCCUUCUUCUGGGCCUCAGGGAUGAAUUUGGUUACAAAAAAAA